rnacentral:lncRNA from 1 species
AGAAGCAAUAGGAGAUAUAUCUCUUAUUACAUUAAGUCUCCUAUUGCUUCUGUUUCUCUGGAGAACUCUAAUACAUAAAAGAUUAUGAUUAGAAUUAUGCUUGAAGAAGGUUAAUCUUAUAAUGGCAUGCAGAGCGGAGCUGGGCAAGGCCAGAGGCUAAAUAUGGAGCCAGAAAGAUACUGCAGAAAGUGAGCAAAAAGGAUGAGUGGAUGGCCUGGGGUGGAAUCCGUGAAAAAGGGCAGAUUGUCAGUCUCAGGAAAUCAACAGGACUGAGUUCUAACUUCAGCUGGGCUACUAUGCCCUGGGGAAAAAUGCAAUAGACAAAGGAGAAACAGCCAGAGACCUUGACCAACAGAACUAUAUUAAACCAGUAAAACAAAAAGUAUUCCAUGUGUGCUCCAGUAAGAAAGAAGAAAGGAAGGCUCAACAUUUCUAUCAUGAGGACUUCUUCCAGCAGAGAGGCUCCACAGGAGACCUUUCAUUGACCUUCACUGAGAAAUACCGAAUAUGUCAUGACUUUCUUCAACUCCACCUCUUCAGUCCAUGCUAUCAGUUGAGGUUUAUGAGAGCUGAGCUAUCAUUUCUAAAGACAGAGGAAUUUGUUCCAAAAAUAUCUGGCUUUCCACCCCCACCUUCAUUUAUAAAACAAACCAUCUAAGUCUUUCAGGCUAUUUUUCCACCAGCUUGUUUAUAAUGUGGUAAUGAUUAUGCUAAUACCAGUUGGGAAUACAUUCUAUGUGGACAUGUUGUGGGAAUGUGAUUGGAGUGUGUGGGGGAGAGGAGAGGGCUGUAUAAGUGCAUGAGGAGAGCUAUUCUAUAAAAUUAUAGUACAUGCCCUCUUUCCAUAUUUACUAGUUUUUGUAAGCUCCUUCUCAAAUGGGAAAUAGACCAUGCUUCCUUUCCAGAAGGAUAGUUAUUGAAUAACGAACACCAUGUGUUCUGCUAUGUCUUAUUUGUCUGAGCACUCUGCAGCUAUUUUCUAAACCAAAUUAAUAACAGUAUACUAAACUGAUUUCCCUAGUGAAAACUGCUGGCUACUACCAAUGUCAGUAUGUACACCCCACUGCUCCCCAAAGCUUAGGUAAUCACUGCAUAACCAAAGUCUACAACAGCCCCAGAGUGGGGGCAAGGCAGCUUUCAUGGUACACAAGGGAAAAUUGACAGCCUCUAAUUAAAUGAGACUGUUUACACAAGCGAUAGAGUAUUACAACACUUUCCCUACAAAAAGAAGAGAAUGUGAAAUUUCAGAAAAGACAGAUUUAAUGUGGAACUUGUCACCACCGUCAGCUUCGGCAUGAUAAAAUGCACAUGGAAAGUCCCUUGCAGCAAGCCCGCUGCAAAGAAGAUUCUUCCUUCGUCUGGGUCAGAGGGUGUGGAUGUCUCUAAAGAAAAUGCUACCUCUCCUUUGCUCACACACCCACUUGCGGCACAGUGAGCUUUCCACAGCAUAUAUGGGAUCUGUGGGCUGAAUGCUGGAGACACAGGGGCCAGAGCCUGGCAGUGAAGACUCCUGGGUUAUGGAGGAAAAAGGAAGUAUCUCCUUUCUACAAAUUAAGAAAAUGCACAUCCACAUGACAGCUUAACACAGGACACCGGGUGUGUACAGAAACUGCCCUAAAAAAAAAAAAAAAAACCUCCCACCUUCACCCAAGCCAAGAAUCAGAAGAUUCUCCCUAACAUUGGAGUCCAAAGAAGAGGAGCCACCAUCUCCUUAACUACAAAACAACUGAGAGAAGAAAUGUCUCCCUUUAGUGCCAGUGAAGAGUUUUGCUUCUCUAGAACAACUGUUUAUUUUUGAUCUUAUGAAACGCGUGACACUUGUAACUGAUUUGCCUUCUUUUUGCUUGCUGCUAGAAAUCUCAGAACCAAAUUCGAGGUCAUUUCUGAAUGUGCUGGACUACACAGCAUGAAUUCUGUGUCCUCUCACCUCAUUCAUAGAUACAUUUUUUUAUUCCUACCCAUCUUUUCCUUUCCCCAGAUUUUCCUAUUGCUCUUUUAUCAUCUUGAGUAAAGAAGGUUAAACUAUGAAUAAAAAGUACAAUCUCAAUGACGAGUCAGGGAAAAGUAAGUUUUGGACUUCCAUUUAGAGCCAUUUAUAGGUCAGCAAUCUUUUGUCUCUGUGUCUUCUUUCUGCCCUGAACAACCAAGGCAUCCUAGUCAGUCUCUCUUCAUCUGCAUACCACUUUAAAGAGCCCAGGGGUCUUCCAAGUACAGUCACUACUAAGAAAAUGUCUUCAGUAAAUUUUUUUUUUUUUUUUUUGAGAUGGAGUCUCGCUCUGUCGCCCAGGCUGGAAUGUAGUGGCACGAUCUCAGCUCACUGCAAGCUCUGCCUCCCGGGUUCACGCCAUCCUCCUGCCUCAGCCUCCCAAGUAGCUGAGACUACAGGCACCUGCCACCAUGCCCGGCUAAUUUUUUUUGUAUUUUUAGUAGAGACGGGGUUUCACUGUAUUAGCCAGGAUGGUCUUAAUCUCCUGACCUCAUGAUCCGCCCGCCUCGGCCUCCCAAAGUGCUGGGAUUACAGGCGUGAGCCCCCGCGCCCAGCCUUCAGUAAAAUUUUAAUGCAUGUUGCUUAUCAUUCUUUGUAUUGUAAGCACCAAUCCUUAAUCUGUGCUGUGGUUUUUGUUCAGAAACAUUUCUUUAAAAAAAUUUCCCCAGACGCUCAGCCUUCAUAUUCUAAUCUUUAUUAUUCUGAACUACCUACAAAGCUAAAUAUACCUUGUCUACAUGCAGUGCUUAUGUAACAAUGGUGCUUAUUUUGUUUUACAUUGCUUCAACCUCUGACCAGAAACUUAGAGGACAGAAUGCCCUGCUUUUACAAAAAAUGUGGUGACCACAACGGUAACCUUAUCUAAUUGAGACCAUUUUAGGAAGGAGGGGAGGAGAUAUUUUUACUGCAAAGACUGAGUCAUAAGCCUUCAUUUUUUACCCUGGGUUGUGCAGAAACUUUAAACUUUCUAUAUUAUUUCAUUUCUUCCAUACCAGGACAUUUAUUUCCUAUUCAGUGACAAUCUUGAUGUCUUCAUCCUUCAAACUGCUCUCUAACAUAGUUUCAAAAUCCAAGCAUUAAACAUUAUUAAUGCUCAGGGGAUGAAUAUGUUCAUUACCUUUACUGUAGUGAUGAUUUCCUAUGGCAAAAUGUUAAAUGAUGUAAAGAUAAAAAUAAUUAUCAUAGUUAUUAAUCAUAGCAAUAAAACUGGACUACCUAAAGCACAGUUUAUGGUAUAAUAUUUAUGAAUUAAGAGCAACACAAAUAAUAAUGUUAAUUGCUCACCUACAGAUGAAUGCAAAUGAGGAUAUAACAGAGUCGAAAUAAACUAAGCAAAGGAAACAAUGUUUCAUAGCUAUCGUGUUCAUUAUUCUAACCAAAAAAAAGAACACAGAAAUCAGAUAUAUGCAAUAGGGUACACUGAAAUGAUUCUCAAUGAUUAUAUAAAACAUAUAUACAUUAUUUUCUCAACUUCCUGAAACAUCAAUUCUCUUGCUCAUAAUGUAGUUAAAUCGUCUAAGAUUAGCCUCAUGUGACCAUGUUUGGACUUCUUAAAAAAAUCGCUUCAGGAACAUUACAUUUUCAUGAUCAGAUAGUUUCCUGAAAGUAUUAAACAAAACUAGGAAAAGUGUUUAAUAGUUAUUUGGAUUACAUUUCAUUAAAAAUCUUUACGAUCUCUGUUAACAGUCCAGUACAUUUGAAUGUUAAGGAGGACCCUGCACUGAAGGUUUUAUAAUGCUUUAUCUAUUCCAAGUUAUACAACACAAAAAUUUUCUCAAACAAGCACAUGUGACUUUGCCUACAUCUGCAUUUAAGAUUCUAAUGUACAUUUUUUUAUUCUUUUGUUUAAAUUAUUAACUAUCAACACUAGAAUUGAGCAUGGUAUGUAUUCAGAAUUAUGUUCAAGUAAUUAGUGGCUAUUUUGUUAAUAAAGAUGAAGCUUCAAUUGUAGAUUUGAUAAUUUUACCCUAAAAUUUUUAAAUAUAUAAAAAAUAGCAUUUUUUAAAACUAUAAUGGUAAGGCAAAAUGUUCUCAUCAGAUUCGGUGGGCAGAUGGGACAGGGAACACAGCUUUCCUGAACCUGGAACUCACAGUUCUGCCACGCAGCUAUAGCAAAA